AAACAAGCCAAAAAAUCAGGAAAAAAAAAAGAAGCUCAGAUGCGCACUAACUCGUCAAUAUUUCAGACGAUGGUGAUGAACCCAAAUCCAUCAUUUAAGCGCAAGUUUCCUCACAGCCUCGCGUCCCCCGUGUCGAACCCGGCUUUCAAUGGGGA
rnacentral:sRNA from 1 species